UACAGAGGGGGCAAGCGUUGUUCGGAAUUACUGGGCGUAAAGGGCGCGUAGGCGGCCCGCUAAGUCGAACGUGAAAUCCCCGGGCUCAACCCGGGAACUGCGUCCGAUACUGGCAGGCUUGAAUCCGGGAGAGGGAUGCGGAAUUCCAGGUGUAGCGGUGAAAUGCGUAGAUAUCUGGAGGAAUACCGGUGGCGAAGGCGGCAUCCUGGACCGGCAUUGACGCUGAGUGAGCGAAAGCCAGGGGAGCAAACGGG
rnacentral:rRNA from 1 species